ACGCUGGCGGCAGGCUUAACACAUGCAAGUCGAACGGUAACAGGAAUUAGCUUGCUAAUUUGCUGACGAGUGGCGGACGGGUGAGUAAUGCUUGGGAAUCUGGCUUAUGGAGGGGGAUAACUACGGGAAACUGUAGCUAAUACCGCGUAAAAUCUUCGGAUUAAAGGGUGGGACUUUCGAGCCACCUGCCAUAAGAUGAGCCCAGGUGGGAUUAGGUAGUUGGUUAGGUAAAGGCUGACCAAGCCGACGAUCUCUAGCUGGUCUGAGAGGAUGACCAGCCACACUGGAACGGAGACACGGUCCAGACUCCUACGGGAGGCAGCAGUGGGGAAUAUUGCACAAUGGGGGGAACCCUGAUGCAGCCAUGCCGCGUGUAUGAAGAAGGCCUUCGGGUCGUAAAGUUCUUUCGGUGACGAGGAAGGUUGAUAGGUUAAUAGCCUAUCAAAUUGACGUUAAUCACAGAAGAAGCACCGGCUAACUCCGUGCCAGCAGCCGCGGUAAUACGGGGGGUGCGAGCGUUAAUCGGAAUAACUGGGCGUAAAGGGCACGCAGGCGGUGACUUAAGUGAGAUGUGAAAGCCCCGAGCUUAACUUGGGAAUUGCAUUUCAUACUGGGUCGCUAGAGUACUUUAGGGAGGGGUAGAAUUCCACGUGUAGCGGUGAAAUGCGUAGAGAUGUGGAGGAAUACCGAAGGCGAAGGCAGCCCCUUGGGAAUGUACUGACGCUCAUGUGCGAAAGCGUGGGGAGCAAACAGGAUUAGAUACCCUGGUAGUCCACGCUGUAAACGAUGUCGAUUUGGGGAUUGGGCUUUGAGCUUGGUGCCCGUAGCUAACGUGAUAAAUCGACCGCCUGGGGAGUACGGCCGCAAGGUUAAAACUUAAAUGAAUUGACGGGGGCCCGCACAAGCGGUGGAGCAUGU
rnacentral:rRNA from 1 species